rnacentral:sRNA from 1 species
GAGACCCAUUUCUCCCUCCACCUCGCCUCGCCGCCGCUAGGUAAGAUAGCUUCGCGCCAUGCCGUCGCCGCGUCCGCCGUGCUCCAGCCGAGCAGCAGCUCGGGCCCGGAGUUGAUCUCCGUCGCUCCCUCGCCCUCUGGUGCACGGGAAGGGAUCCUCCCCGUGCUCCUCUCCGUCUUCGACGGCUCGCGGGGUCCCAAGGAGUCGCCUCGACGUCGUCUGCUUCCUCUUCUUCUUCAGGCAGAACCGGUUCGGAUGCGCGCCAGACUUCAGCAGCUCGCCGUCGCCUUCUGAAGCCUCGUUCCACAUCGUUUUCAUGCCCUAGGUACAGGUAACGCAGAAGCAGAUGCUUACGAGGACAACCAGUUGAAGUGGGAGUUUGACGAGGACAGUAGCCGGAUGUACGUGAUGUACCCCGAUGACUAGACGUAUUUGGUCGUGAUCGUGGGCCUAGCGAGGCAAGAACAUUGCUUUUGUUGUUUAUCUUGUCCGUAGUCGGACCCUGCCUUCUGAAUGAUUUGAAUAAAUGUUGUGUGGAUCUUGUAACCC